UACGAAGGGGGCUAGCGUUGCUCGGAAUCACUGGGCGUAAAGCGCACGUAGGCGGAUUGCUAAGUCAGGGGUGAAAUCCUGGAGCUCAACUCCAGAACUGCCUUUGAUACUGGCGAUCUCGAGUCCGGGAGAGGUGAGUGGAACUGCGAGUGUAGAGGUGAAAUUCGUAGAUAUUCGCAAGAACACCAGUGGCGAAGGCGGCUCACUGGCCCGGUACUGACGCUGAGGUGCGAAAGCGGUGGGGAGCAAACAGG
rnacentral:rRNA from 1 species